CGGGAUGUAGCUCAGCCCGGUUAGAGUGCUGGUCUGGGGGACCAGAGGCCGGAGGUUCGAAUCCUCUCAUCCCGACUA
rnacentral:tRNA from 1 species